UACGGGGGGGGCAAGCGUUGUUCGGAAUUACUGGGCGUAAAGGGCUCGUAGGCGGCCAACUAAGUCCGACGUGAAAUCCCAAGGCUUAACCUUGGAACUGCGUCGGAUACUGGAUGGCUUGAAUUCGGGAGAGGGAUGCAGAAUUCCAGGUGUAGCGGUGAAAUGCGUAGAUAUGCGGAGGAACACCGAUGGCGAAGGCAAUCCCCUGGGCCUGCACUGACGCUCAUGCACGAAAGCGUGGGGAGCAAACAGG
rnacentral:rRNA from 1 species